CCAGCAGCCGCGGUAAUUCCAGCUCCAAUAGUGUAUAUUAAUUCUGUUGUGGUUAAAAAGCUCGUAGUCGGAUUUCGGAGCGUGGAGAUCAAGGUCCGUCCAAGUGGCGUGGCCCGAUCACCGCCUCCUCUUUCCAGGUGACGGCCCCUCGCGCUUCACGGCGUGGGGUGUGCGGUUCCUGGUCGUUUAUUAUGACAAACUCAGAGUGUUCAAAGCAGGCGUAAAUGCCUUGAAUGCUACAGCAUGAGAUAAUGGAAGAUGACAAUGGUCUUAUUUUGUUGGUUUCUAAGGCUGCUGUAAUGAUUAAUAGGGCCAGUUGGGGUCGCUCGUAUUGUACUGUCAGAGGUGAAAUUCUAGGAUUUGUACAAGACGAACUACUGCGAAAGCA
rnacentral:rRNA from 1 species